rnacentral:rRNA from 1 species
CGGGACACGUGGUAUCCUGUCUGAAUAUGGGGGGACCAUCCUCCAAGGCUAAAUACUCCUGACUGACCGAUAGUGAACCAGUACCGUGAGGGAAAGGCGAAAAGAACCCCGGCGAGGGGAGUGAAAAAGAACCUGAAACCGUGUACGUACAAGCAGUGGGAGCCUCUUAAUGGGGUGACUGCGUACCUUUUGUAUAAUGGGUCAGCGACUUAUAUUCUGUAGCAAGGUUAACCGAAUAGGGGAGCCGAAGGGAAACCGAGUCUUAACUGGGCGUUAAGUUGCAGGGUAUAGACCCGAAACCCGGUGAUCUAGCCAUGGGCAGGUUGAAGGUUGGGUAACACUAACUGGAGGACCGAACCGACUAAUGUUGAAAAAUUAGCGGAUGACUUGUGGCUGGGGGUGAAAGGCCAAUCAAACCGGGAGAUAGCUGGUUCUCCCCGAAAGCUAUUUAGGUAGCGCCUCGUGAAUUCAUCUCCGGGGGUAGAGCACUGUUUCGGCAAGGGGGUCAUCCCGACUUACCAACCCGAUGCAAACUGCGAAUACCGGAGAAUGUUAUCACGGGAGACACACGGCGGGUGCUAACGUCCGUCGUGAAGAGGGAAACAACCCAGACCG